rnacentral:rRNA from 1 species
UACGAGGGGGGCAAGCGUUGUUCGGAAUUAUUGGGCGUAAAGGGUGCGUAGGCGGUUUGACAAGUCUCAUGUGAAAUCUUCGGGCUCAACCCGAAGCCUGCAUGGGCAACUGUCGGGCUUGAGUAUGGGAGAGGUGAGUGGAAUUUCCGGUGUAGCGGUGAAAUGCGUAGAUAUCGGAAGGAACACCUGUGGCGAAAGCGGCUCACUGGACCAUAACUGACGCUGAUGCACGAAAGCUAGGGGAGCAAACAGG